rnacentral:rRNA from 1 species
CCCUUAGAUGUUCUGGGCCGCACGCGUGCUACACUGAGUGGAUCAGCGGGUCAGGUUGCGCGAAAGCGUUUCCUAAUCUUUAAAUCCGCCCGUGAUGGGGAUUGACGGUUGCAAUUUUCUGUCAUGAACGAGGAAUACCUUGUAAGCGCGGGUCAUCAUCCCGCGCUGAAUACGUCCCUGCCCUUUGUACACACCGCCCGUCGCUCCUACCGAUUGAAUGCUCAGGUGAGCCAUUCGGACUUUCAUCAUGCUGGUUUCCAGUUUUGAUGAAGGAAAGUCUUGCGAACCUUAUCAUUUAGAGGAAGGAGAAGUCGUAACA